AGCAAGAGCCUAAGUACACUAAUAGCACCAGAGCCUGCCUGAUCUUGAAAGUUAAGCAGAGUCAGUCCUGAUUAGUAUUUGGAUGGGAGAUCACCAACCAAUACCAGGGGCUAUACUCU
rfam:Anolis carolinensis chromosome 4, whole genome shotgun sequence.